AGUGACGGAAUUAUGAAAGUUUGGCAAAGAUAGUGUUUUGUUGACCAUCGGGGGUAUGCAUGUGUUGUUGUGUUUUGAUAUAGUGCUGUUGCUUCUUAUAUUCUCUUAUGAUUCCUUGCCUAAUGUUGUGUCUGUGCAUAUCUCUUGACUGGCAUUGGCUCCAGAAAUCAUUCAGAAGGCAGGAUCACAAGAUUGAUGUGAAAUCUUUUUCUGAUGAAAGGUAGAGUUGAAUUCAAUCACUAAACUAAGAGGCAUGCUACCUGCAGGCAUGGAUCUGCUGACACCCAAUACAAGUGUCUCAUGAAAAGUUGAAACACGUAUUGAUGAUCUAAGCCCUACAUCACACUGGCCUCAUGAUGAAUGUGUCUUCACCUAGGAUCGUAUGUCUAUUCAUCAGGAAUUGCAAAAUCCGUUACAGCUGUUGCAAGAAAUGCUCACUGAUGUGAAGUAUAGAUUGAGUUGUUGGACUGUACCAGGAAAUGUCAAUAAUGCACUCCAAAUCAGAGUAAUGGAAUAAUCUUUGAUGAAAUCUCUUGAUUCACAUCGAGAACACUAGGUAAUUCUUUCUUCUUUAUUUUCAAGAUCUAUAUGUCAUAGCUGGCAUUAUAAGCAGAAUCUUUUUCCAUAUUAUCUCUAACAGCUAAGGCAUCCAAGGAACUGAGAUAGAUUACUUGGCAGAGAUAAGUUAUAAUGGACUUGGAACAAUACAUUGUAUUGAAAGUUAAAAAUAGAUGGAUUACUAUUGAACACAUGGUUUGAUAGUUUUACUCUUAACUUAUAGGCAUUUUUAAAUCAUAAAAAUCAACUAAAUUUGAAGAGGAUGGAUCACCUACAAUCAAUUGUAUGCUGCAACCCAGCUUUUUAUGCAAAAAUUUUAGUUUCCAGAUUUGCCUAUAAAAAUAAUAUCAUAUUUUCAAAAGAAAAAUUCUUAGAAAAGGGUGGUGGAUGCCUUUUGGAGAGCUGAUUAUGGACCCUUCUUUGCCAGUCAACCAUUUAAAGCCAACCCCAACUUACUGGUAGAAAGGCUAAGAUGAUGAUGGUGAUAAUAUACUCGUGAGCCUUUGCAUGUCCAUCU